rnacentral:lncRNA from 1 species
UGUUGAAAUUCAAAAUUGAGGACAAAAGUUGGUUUCUUUCCUCACAUUUGCAUAGAGAUCAAACAGACAAUAUUCAUUUGUUGCAGGAAACGAUAAAAUUCCUAGGGCAAAGCAGCACAACAACUCAACAUAGAAAAUGGGUUUCUCAGAUUUAACACCAACAAACAUUAAAAAUCAAAACAAGAAGUGAAAUGAAGAAUAAAGUAGUGUUUUUAAUAUCGAGAACUGAGAAAUACCUUCAAAGUUGCUUUCUCCUAAUGCUUGGGUUUUGACGCUGAGAUGAAACAGAGACUUUUGAGAGAGAGAG